rnacentral:rRNA from 1 species
CGGGUGAGUAACACGUGGAUAACCUACCUAUAAGACUGGGAUAACUUCGGGAAACCGGAGCUAAUACCGGAUAAUAUAUUGAACCGCAUGGUUCAAUAGUGAAAGACGGUUUUGCUGUCACUUAUAGAUGGAUCCGCGCUGCAUUAGCUAGUUGGUAAGGUAACGGCUUACCAAGGCAACGAUGCGUAGCCGACCUGAGAGGGUGAUCGGCCACACUGGAACUGAGACACGGUCCAGACUCCUACGGGAGGCAGCAGCA